AUGAAUUUCAUUUCCAGAAACAAUUUUAGUAACAAUGCUUAUAAGAACAACUUUGAAAAUAAUUAUGUUAGACCAUACCUGCAAAAAGUUCAAAAUACAUAUGGAAAUUCUUAUGGCAAUAAAAAUAUACCUACUGGUCUUCAAAAUGACGCGUACUCGGCCAAGUCCUACUAUCUGGCGCUCUUCUCUGGAUCCGCAAUUGAGCCAUCUUGGCACCUCACCUAGAAGUCGUGGGCUCCACUACGCGUAAAGAUCUUCCUAUGGCUUGCUUACCAGGGCUGGUGUUAGACCGUAGACAGAUUGGCACGUCGUGGACUGCCGCACGCCUCUCUAUGUCUACUUUGCAACAAGGAGCCAGAAACCAUCCAACACCUUCUCGUCACCUGCUCCUUCUCUCGCUAGGUGUGGUCAUGA
rnacentral:rRNA from 1 species